rnacentral:tRNA from 1 species
GAAGCUUAGGUUAAACUUUAAACCAAAGGCCUUCAAAGCCUUAAACAAGAGUUAAACCCUCUUAGCUUCUG